rnacentral:rRNA from 1 species
AAUCAACGCUGGCGGCGUGCCUAACACAUGCAAGUCGAACGCGAAAGGGGAGCAAUCCCUGAGUAGAGUGGCAAACGGGUGAGUAACACGUGGGUGACCUGCCUUCGAGUGGGGGAUAACGUUCCGAAAGGAACGCUAAUACCGCAUGACAUCCUGCUUUUGGAGAAGCGGAGAUCAAAGCUGGGGAUUCGCAAGAACCUAGCGCUUGAAGAGGGGCCCGCGCCUGAUUAGCUAGUUGGUGGGGUAACGGCUCACCAAGGCUUCGAUCAGUAUCCGGCCUGAGAGGGCGGACGGACACACUGGGACUGAGACACGGCCCAGACUCCUACGGGAGGCAGCAGUGGGGAAUUGUUCGCAAUGGGCGCAAGCCUGACGACGCAACGCCGCGUGGAGGAUGAAGAUUUUCGGAUCGUAAACUCCUGUCGAGUGGGACGAAUAGCUUCCGGGCGAAUAUCCCGGAAGUCUGACGGUACCACUA